UUUUGGAAAGCCGUCAUCCACUUUGCGUCCCAAUUAUUCGAGACUCGACCAACAAUGGACCAUCACUUGGAAACACAAUCACUGGGAAUGAUGAUGGCGACUUUGGCUGGCCAAGGUUUCUUGACCCGGAAGAAAGGACUUUGGAAAGCACCAACCGCAAAGGAACUCGCACAAAUACUCAAUAUUGACAAGCCACGGACCCAACGGAUAACCAUCCGCAGAACGGGAGCACUGAUGAGUUCUUUCGUCAACGAGAGGAGUCUACGUACACGCAGAUGGACUUUUUUAAUCUGGCCAGAACCGCUCCAAGGCCCUUUCCAUGACUCCAAAUGCCAUCAUCUUUGCCAGAGAAAACACAACAAAAGUGAUGAGGCGGACGCGAAGACGAAGGCGACGAAGACCACUAGAAAGAAGCACAACCACACACACACACACACACACACUCACUCACGCUGACACCAAGCACCCAGAAGCUCUGUUAUCAUUGGCCAAUCAAGACGGCCUGAGAUCAGCCAGGACCAUCUGGCCUUCUUUAUCUCUCCUUUUUCUCUCGGGCCUUCUUCGUCGUCUCUUUUCCGAUUAUGAGAAACAAGAAGAGGCUACUUGCUGGGUUGGUUCGUUCCUUGGAUGACGUACGUACGUACGUACGCACCCUGUAUACUACAGAGAGUCCGGCUCAGGGAAGGAGGACCCCGUGUACAUGUACAGUAGAUAGUACACGAAUAGUUCAGUUCAAGACUAAUAGAUGCUCGUCGUGCUUGGAUGGGCCUUUUGGUUCUUCCGUUCGGAAAAGACUUGGAACGAUGCUCAAAGAACGAACCCAGGAACGGAGACAAUUGCUGAGCUUUUGUUUAAGACGUGGCUGGUAAGGAUUGGGGGCAGACAGAGAGAGAGAGAGAGAGGUUGAGGUGCAACUUAAAUUUAGUUAGCACCAUAAAGAUGGUAACCGAGAUUCUGGUCGGGAUAAUGGCUCAUGUUGAUGGUGGUGAAAUAGAUACCGGAUGGUGAACAACAAUGAGCGCUUGUGGAUUUUACGAUGCUUGUCUGAUUAUUGUACCAAUGGAAUAUGCGGUGCAUUCACAAGUGUAUGAAGAAACUAAGGAGGGAAGGAUUAGCAUUUAUCUAAGAAGAAAAUCUUAUUUAUUUUCUAAAUUGUAACUUGUGGGAGAUUUGAUUGGGUCGAAGUUUGACCGUUUCAUUUUUGGAUGCUACGUUUGACCAAUCGGAUUAAAAUAUCCAAUAUAUGACAUUGAUUUGCUAUGAGAUGCUGGGAUUUCUGUCCCCAAAUACACAAUAUAG